GCAUUGGUGGUUCAGUGGUAGAAUUUCGCCUGCCACAGCGGGGCCCGGGUUCGAUUCCCGGCCAAUGCA
rnacentral:tRNA from 1 species